rnacentral:rRNA from 1 species
UGCAUGUCUAAGUAUAAAUUCUUGUACGAUGAAACUGCAGACGGCUCAUUACAACAGUGAUAAACUGCUAGACUUUCGGGUUUUUAACCUUUUGGAUAACCGCAGUAAAUCGGGGCUAAUACAUAGAAGCGAUGGGUGACUGGCAACGGAAGCUCAGCGAUUAUUAGCAUUACUACCAAUACCUUCGGGUCUUGUGGUGAAACCGAAUAAUAUUGCAGAUCGAGGAUUUAUCUUCGACAAGUCUACUGUGUCACUGCCCUAUCAACUUUCGAUGGUACGGUAUUGGCCUACCAUGGUUGUAACGGGUAACGGGGAAUUAGGGUUCGAUUCCGGAGAGGGAGCCUGAGAAAUGGCUACCACUUCUACGGAAGGCAGCAGGCGCGCAAAUUACUCAAUCCCAAUACGGGGAAGUAGUGACAAUAAAUAUCAAUACCUAUCCUUUUUGGAGGGCAAUUGAAAUGAACACAAAUUAAAACUCUUAAUUAACACAAUUGGAGGGCAAGUCUGGUGCCAGCAGCCGCGGUAAUUCCAGCUCCAAUAGCAUAUACUAAAGUUGUUGCAGUUAAAAAGCUCGUAGUUGAAGUUAAAGUUAUAUUGGGCUAAAGUUUUUUACCACUAUGUGGCUAAAAUAACUCCAAUAUUUCUUUUUUUAAUAGCUCAGUUUCUAGGUCUUUGACUCUAGUUAUUUGGGCAUUUCACUGUGAGAAAAUUGUGGUGUUUAAAGCAGGCGUCUCGUCUGAUCUUUUGCAGCAUGGUAUGAUGGAACAUGACAUUUUACG